AAGUCGAGCGGAGAGAGGUAGCUUGCUACUGAUCUUAGCGGCGGACGGGUGAGUAAUGCUUAGGAAUCUGCCUAUUAGUGGGGGACAACAUUUCGAAAGGAAUGCUAAUACCGCAUACGUCCUACGGGAGAAAGCAGGGGAUCUUCGGACCUUGCGCUAAUAGAUGAGCCUAAGUCGGAUUAGCUAGUUGGUGGGGUAAAGGCCUACCAAGGCGACGAUCUGUAGCGGGUCUGAGAGGAUGAUCCGCCACACUGGGACUGAGACACGGCCCAGACUCCUACGGGAGGCAGCAGUGGGGAAUAUUGGACAAUGGGCGCAAGCCUGAUCCAGCCAUGCCGCGUGUGUGAAGAAGGCCUUAUGGUUGUAAAGCACUUUAAGCGAGGAGGAGGCUACUUUAGUUAAUACCUAGAGAUAGUGGACNUUACUCGCAGAAUAAGCACCGGCUAACUCUGUGCCAGCAGUCGCGGUAAUACAGAGGGUGCAAGCGUUAAUCGGAUUUACUGGGCGUAAAGCGCGCGUAGGCGGCUAAUUAAGUCAAAUGUGAAAUCCCCGAGCUUAACUUGGGAAUUGCAUUCGAUACUGGUUAGCUAGAGUGUGGGAGAGGAUGGUAGAAUUCCAGGUGUAGCGGUGAAAUGCGUAGAGAUCUGGAGGAAUACCGAUGGCGAAGGCAGCCAUCUGGCCUAACACUGACGCUGAGGUGCGAAAGCAUGGGGAGCAAACAGGAUUAGAUACCCUGGUAGUCCAUGCCGUAAACGAUGUCUACUAGCCGUUGGGGCCUUUGAGGCUUUAGUGGCGCAGCUAACGCGAUAAGUAGACCGCCUGGGGAGUACGGUCGCAAGACUAAAACUCAAAUGAAUUGACGGGGGCCCGCACAAGCGGUGGAGCAUGUGGUUUAAUUCGAUGCAACGCGAAGAACCUUACCUGGCCUUGACAUAGUAAGAACUUUCCAGAGAUGGAUUGGUGCCUUCGGGAACUUACAUACAGGUGCUGCAUGGCUGUCGUCAGCUCGUGUCGUGAGAUGNUGGGUUAAGUCCCGCAACGAGCGCAACCCUUUUCCUUAUUUGCCAGCGAGUAAUGUCGGGAACUUUAAGGAUACUGCCAGUGACAAACUGGAGGAAGGCGGGGACGACGUCAAGUCAUCAUGGCCCUUACGGCCAGGGCUACACACGUGCUACAAUGGUCGGUACAAAGGGUUGCUACCUAGCGAUAGGAUGCUAAUCUCAAAAAGCCGAUCGUAGUCCGGAUUGGAGUCUGCAACUCGACUCCAUGAAGUCGGAAUCGCUAGUAAUCGCGGAUCAGAAUGCCGCGGUGAAUACGUUCCCGGGCCUUGUACACACCGCCCGUCACACCAUGGGAGUUUGUUGCACCAGAAGUAGCUAGCCUAACUGCAAAGAGGGCGGUUACCACGGUGUGGCCGAUGACUGGGGUGAAGUCGUNACACCGAACUAGAUAU
rnacentral:rRNA from 1 species